UACGGAGGGUGCGAGCGUUGUCCGGAAUCACUGGGCGUAAAGGGCGCGUAGGCGGCGCGGGAAGUCAUCGGUGAAAGUUCAGGGCUCAACUCUGAAUUGGCCGGUGAUACUCUCGUGCUCGAGCACUGUAGAGGCAGGUGGAAUUCCGGGUGUAGCGGUGGAAUGCGUAGAGAUCCGGAAGAACACCGGUGGCGAAGGCGGCCUGCUGGGCAGUAGCUGACGCUGAUGCGCGACAGCGUGGGGAGCAAACAGG
rnacentral:rRNA from 1 species